GAUGAACGCUGGCGGCGUGCCUAAUACAUGCAAGUCGAGCGAACGGACGAGAAGCUUGCUUUUCUGAUGUUAGCGGCGGACGGGUGAGUAACACGUGGAUAACCUACCUAUAAGACUGGGAUAACUUCGGGAAACCGGAGCUAAUACCGGAUAAUAUUUUGAACCGCAUGGUUCAAAAGUGAAAGACGGUCUUGCUGUCACUUAUAGAUGGAUCCGCGCUGCAUUAGCUAGUUGGUAAGGUAACGGCUUACCAAGGCAACGAUGCAUAGCCGACCUGAGAGGUUGAUCGGCCACACUGGAACUGAGACACGGUCCAGACUCCUACGGGAGGCAGCAGUAGGGAAUCUUCCGCAAUGGGCGAAAGCCUGACGGAGCAACGCCGCGUGAGUGAUGAAGGUCUUCGGAUCGUAAAACUCUGUUAUUAGGGAAGAACAUAUGUGUAAGUAACUGUGCACAUCUUGACGGUACCUAAUCAGAAAGCCACGGCUAACUACGUG
rnacentral:rRNA from 1 species